rnacentral:rRNA from 1 species
ACGAACGCUGGCGGCGUGCUUAACACCUGCAAGUCGAGCGGAAAGGCCACUUCGGUGGUACUCGAGCGGCGAACGGGUGAGUAACACGUGAGUAAUCUGCCCUUGGCUUUGGGAUAGCCACCGGAAACGGUGAUUAAUACCGGAUACGACCACUCCAGGCAUCUGGUGGUGGUGGAAAGUUUUUCGGCCAGGGAUGUGCUCGCGGCCUAUCAGCUUGAUGGUGAGGUAAUGGCUCACCAUGGCUUCGACGGGUAGCCGGCCUGAGAGGGUGACCGGUCACACUGGGACUGAGACACGGCCCAGACUCCUACGGGAGGCAGCAGUGGGGAAUAUUGGACAAUGGGCGGAAGCCUGAUGCAGCAACGCCGCGUGCGGGAUGACGGCCUUCGGGUUGUAAACCGCUUUCGCCUGUGACGAAGCGUGAGUGACGGUAAUGGGUAAAGAAGCACCGGCUAACUACGUG